AGUCUACUAUGUGUUCUUGAUGCUUGUAACGUUUAUUUACUUGAUAAUGCCUUUCUUUGUUGAGAUUCAAUUUAAGUAUGAUAAAUAUGUGUCUGCACUAUCCUUUCAUAAUCCAAUUUAACAUGUUCUUCUCUUAUGUUUUCUAGGUUGUUAACAAUUCCGGCGAUAUUCUUGAAAUGAAACAAGAAGAAUAUAAACUGUUUGGUGAAGAUGUUGAUCGAGCUCAUGCAUAAACCCAUAUGAGUAUCUGUUAAUCAGGAUAUGCCUUUUUCUUUGAUAAUGCCUUUCUUUUUUCAUUGUUGAGAUUUAAUAAAAGAACUUCCUGUAUGAUUUGUGUCUUGUCUAUCCUUUUAUCAUUGUAGACUAUCUUGUGCUUCUUCUGUUCCAUUUUGUCAUUUGUUCUAGUAUCCGCUCUAACGUUGUGCAUGUUAUUGGGUGUUCAAAUUUCCUUUUCUCUUUAGGUCCCCCGUCCCUACCGACCCCCCUGCUACUCAGUAGAAAACAACACCUAUGUUCUAGUUUCAAGAAAUUUUGGAUCGAUUAUAUGAAUUCUCACUUUCCACAUGUCGCCCAUUUAAGCACGCCUCGGACACUAAGGAGUACAACAACAAUAAAUCCAGUAUAAUUCCACAUAAAGAGGUCUCAGGAGGAUAGAGUGUUCGCAGACCUUAACCCUACCUUGUGAAGGUAGAGAAGUUGUUUCGAUAGAUCCCGACUCAAGGAAAAAAUUGAAAAGAAGCACAAAUAACAGUUAAUAACAACAACAAGAUAGGUGAUAAAGAGAUAGAAUAAUCGAAGCAAACGAACCAACAAAUAGUAAAAGAAAUUUACGGAUAAGAAAAUACAAACAUACAAGACUAAUACUGAUGCAACCGUCAUGAAAAUAUAUACUUACCUUCUGAGGAAUGAGUGAGAAUAAUAAGGGUUGUGUUAACCCCCCUCCCCCAAAAAAAGAAAAUAUAUGAUUAUUGUUUUUCAUUUGGUUUAUGAUUUAUGAUGCCACUAAUUUGUUUCUUCUUUAUUGUUUUUCAUUUGGUUGAUUGUUUCUCUCUAGGUGGUCGACAUUUCCGAUGAUAUUCUUGAAAUCAAACAAGAAUUUCCUCUUCUGUUUGGUGAAGAUACCAAUCGAGGUCGUGUAGAUGCCGAUGUGCAGGUCCAGUCUCAGACUCGUUAUUCUGAGCCACAGUUUGCAAGAACUCCAAUCUCUUCCAACCUAGGGGAGUCGACUGUACGCGAUUUGGAACGAAAGAGAAGUUGGGGCAAAAAGAGAAGCAAUAGAAAAACUUCCCGGGUUAGUGCCCCAGGCCAGCGCAACGCGCCUGCCCGUGACUUGGUUUUGACGGCCCUACAUUACCUCAACUCGUCUAAAAGGAGUUCUAACACUAAUUUGGAGGGAGAGACGCAACUUUGAGAGUAGAAUACACGCACGGAACACUAGGGAGCAAGGAUUAUUAGUUUUCCUUCAUUCUUAGUAUUUUCAAUCAUUCAAACAAUUGUGAAAUUGUUUAGUACUAUCAUGAGUGGCUAUGACUCAUUAGUUUCGGAGUUGUGAUUUAGCCAUGAAUAUUGUUGU